AUGCCACCCAACUUGUUUAGGGUUCAACUGGUUCGGGUGCUGCCAGGCUGCGACGACUUGUUACCUCCGAUUCGACCCGUCGGGGCCGACGAUGAUGACGUGAUGACCCUCAGCGCCUGCCUGAGCUGGCCCCUGCUUUGGCCAAAGAUCCAGAUUCGUUUGGGGGCGGGGGACACCACCCCAAAGACAACACCGCCAGUCGUGCCGGCGCCAAGUCGGCCCCAUGGCAAGACCGCCGUAACGGUGCCGGACAUCCCUAUGCCACUGGAUCCAAACAUGCAUAUGGCACAGGAUCAGAACGACGACGACGACGACGAUGAUACAUUUGGCAAUGUCGAUCAGUACUUUGCCGAGCAUGGGUACGAUGGCGACUUCAUGGGGCCUCCUUCUCAAGAACCAAACCCAACAAAAGACGUGUGCGAUCUAGCUCGUACCGCGGAGAAGCCAAGUUGCAACAGGCGCCGUCAGGCGUUCAGCUCUCAGGAGACGCCUCUAGCUGCCGACUUCACCGAGCCUCAGAUAGGCGAGGUGCGAAAUAUUAUCAGCCCCAACACACUCAAGAAGGCGGUCUGUGAGCAGAACUCGGUCCCAUUACAGGAGAAGAAGAAGGCACGCAAAAGAAAGACUAAGAAGGGUGCGAGCCAGCCGGCACCGAGUACGAUCCGUGCUCAGGACGGGCCACCUUCACCGCAGGAUAUCUCGAGGAGGGUGCAUGUGGCGGGUAGGGCGAUGCUACCACCAAAUAUGCUCAAUGCUGCAACCGGUGCUAUGCGGAGUCUGCACAACAGUGUUCUUUCUUUGGAGAAGCGGCGUCUCAGAGAGAAGGAUGUGGCAUACCCGGUUUUCGUGGCCAAGGUGCCAGAGGGCAAGGGCUUUGUGGAUGGCGACAUCGGGGGUACGAUCGUUCUGCGGUUUGAUGACAUCUUUGCUAUGUUUAACCUUCAUUCGCUGCACUACACCUUCGUUCGGCUAUUUUCGCUGAGUAUGGAGAUGCGGAUCAUUCGCGACAAGACCCCGGACAUCGUGAUAGUCGACCCCUUCUACAUGCGUGCCAGGAUCUUGGGCAGCGCUGGGGACCGGCAAGUCACGAGUUCUUACCUCGAAGGCGUCAUUUUGGCAAACCAAGAUAAGGAUAACUUCCUCGUGCCUUACUUUCCCGAGUAA
rnacentral:rRNA from 1 species